rnacentral:lncRNA from 13 species
AGGAAUGGGGUAUUAUGGGACUGGGGGAUUGGGGAAUUGUUUUCAAACACGCGGGGGGCCAGGACUCCCCGUAGCCUCCGGAAGGGGAGACAAGGCGACUGUAACCCCCUAAGGGUAGCUGGUAAACCUCGUCUGGUUCUCCCGGGGAACCACACAGGCAGGCCGCCAGAGGGAGUGGGCGCCACCCGGAAGCUCCCCGGGGCCGAGAGGCGAGCGCUCCCGACUCAACGGCUCUGCGCGUGUCGCCGCACAUCUCCCCAAGCCGCGCAACCCACCCCGCCUGCUCCUCUGCGGCCCAGGCCCCAGGUCGGUUACCCGGUGUCCAGGCAACCUCUGGGGAGGCGGCGGCGGCGGCGGCGGCGGCGGCGGCGGCGGCAGCAUGUGGAGCGGGGUGGUUGCUGCUCCUGGUUCAAGCCUUGGCCCCCGAGCUCCAGGCCGCCCCCGCUCAACUUCCUUUCCCUUUCUUUGCUUUGAAGACUGACAAGACCCUAUGGCAAGGAAGGCAGGCAGCCUCUAGCAGCUGACAAUGACACAGGUGACAGCGAGCAAGGAAAUGGGGACUUCAUUCCUACAACUGCAAGGAACUGAAUUCUACAAAUAAUCUGAAUGUUCUUGGAAGAGAACACUGGACUCCAAAUGGGAAAAUGUGCUAGCCAGGCGCAGUGGCUUAUGCUUGUAAUCCCAGCACUUUGGGAGGCCAAGGCAGGUGGAUAACUUGAGGCCAGGAGUUCAAGACCAGCUGGCCAACAUAUUCAGCCCUACUAAAGAUACAAGAAAUUAGUCAGGUAUGAUGGCACACACCUGUGGUCCCAGCUACUCGGGAGGCUGAGGUAGGAGGAUCGCUUGAGCUUGGGAGGCAGAGGUUGCAGUGAGUCGAGAUUGCACCACUGCACUCCAGCCUGAGCAACAGAGCAAGACCCCAUCUACAAAAAAGACUAUGUCCUGCCAUCACCUUGAUUUCAGCCUCAUGGGACCCUGAGCAGACAACCUAGGCAACCUCGCUUGGACUUCUUACUUAGACAACUGUGAGGCUAAUAAAUGGACAUUGUAAACUGCUAGAUUUACA